AUUCCUUUGAAAACAACUCAUAAGACCCAGUCAUGUAUUCAUAAUGGCAUCAUCAACCAUUAUAUACAUACAUAUAAUUUGACAAGUGAAUCUCAACAUUUCAUAACAAAUAGUCAUAUACACAUAAUUAGAACUUGACCGUCAGCAGAGUGACUCUGGAUGGGAGAUAUGACUACUGAAUGUCAAAGUACCUGCCCAAAAGAUGGGAGUACGCAGACACCUCAAUCUAUGUCUCAACCACCCCUGAAUCUGAAAACUUGAAGUUGAAAACGUGAGUAUAAACUCAGUGAGUGAACAUAGGAAGGGAACAAGCAAUUACAAGGAAUGAUUUAGAAAUCAUGAUGCACUUAAGUUCGAAAAUAGUGCAACCUAGUUCAAGUUCUUAUUAAAAUCCUUCCAUCAACCCCGGGUUAUUAAAUCAUUUCAUAAUGAAGGAACCAUAUUUAGUAGAAAAUUAGAGAGAGAGGAAAUUUCUAGCAGUCAUCCAAGCAAGGCAGUAUAAACAGAAUGUUCUUAUUGCAAUAAAAUCAAUUCACAUGUAAAUGCGAAAUUUUCAAGAUUUAUCAUGCCAUAUAAUCACAUAUUAUAAUCAUAAUCUUUCUAUUGCAUAUACAUAUGCUUAAGCAUAUAUCAAUUAAAAAUACCACCACACCUCAUCCAGCUCAUGUACAUCAUCACCGGCAUGUGCACUGCCUACUCUACACAUGCAUGGUUGUAAUUACCAAGACAACAUCAUUAUCGACAUGCGCACUGCCCACUCCGUGCAUGCACGGUUGUAAUUAUCAGGACAGCAUCAUUACCGGCCUGUGCACUACCCACUCCGUACAUGCACGGUUGUAAUUAUC
rnacentral:lncRNA from 1 species